AAUAAACAUCAUACUGCAAAGUCAUUUACAUACAUUCUCCUCAAACUUUGCAUGACUGAUGGUUUACACUAAGCUAUAAAAAUUGUUUUGUUACAGCUGGAUGCAAAGACAAUAUCUGAACUUCAAACGUACUGAUCCAGACACACAACUGUUGGAAACAGAUGUUAACAAGAAGAAAGCCAGAACUAUGAAAUGUGGUUCAUCUUGACUGGUACUCCACCUCUGACAGAUCUACCCUUACCCAGAAUUCAAAGACAUGAGUUUCCUAGCUGGGAACUUCUUCAUUGGUAUUUGGUAAUUAUAAGAACCUACACUUUAAACUUCUACAUCCAAUUGUCAGUUGUGAAAAUGGGUUCUGAGCAGCAGUCCGGACAAGAAAAGAGAGAACUGUCACUGAUAGGAUCAUGUCCAGCUGGGUUCUGAAUUUGGAUAGAUACACUACAAAUCUCAGCAACCUGUGGCAAUGUCUGGCCACAGUAGAAGAAAUGGUG
rnacentral:lncRNA from 1 species